rnacentral:rRNA from 1 species
GGCGGCAGGCCUAACACAUGCAAGUCGAGCGCCGUAGCAAUACGGAGCGGCAGACGGGUGAGUAACACGUGGGAACGUGCCCUUCGGUUCGGAAUAACUCAGGGAAACUUGAGCUAAUACCGGAUACGUCCGAAAGGAGAAAGAUUUAUCGCCGAAGGAUCGGCCCGCGUAAGAUUAGCUAGUUGGUGAGGUAACGGCUCACCAAGGCUCUGAUCUUUAGCUGGUCUGAGAGGACGAUCAGCCACACUGGGACUGAGACACGGCCCAGACUCCUACGGGAGGCAGCAGUGGGGAAUAUUGGACAAUGGGCGCAAGCCUGAUCCAGCCAUGCCGCGUGAGUGAUGAAGGCCUUAGGGUUGUAAAGCUCUUUUGGCAGGGACGAUAAUGACUGUACCUGCAGAAUAAGCCCCGGCCAACUUCGUGCCAGCAGCCGCGGUAAUACGAAGGGGGCUAGCGUUGCUCGGAAUCACUGGGCGU